rnacentral:rRNA from 1 species
AGAUUAAGUUAUUAAGGGCGCACGGUGGAUGCCUUGGCACUAGAAGCCGAUGAAGGACGUUACUAACGACGAUAUGCUUUGGGGAGCUGUAAGUAAGCUUUGAUCCAGAGAUUUCCGAAUGGGGAAACCCAGCAUGAGUUAUGUCAUGUUAUCGAUAUGUGAAUACAUAGCAUAUCAGAAGGCACACCCGGAGAACUGAAACAUCUUAGUACCCGGAGGAAGAGAAAGAAAAUUCGAUUCCCUUAGUAGCGGCGAGCGAAACGGGAAGAGCCCAAACCAACAAGCUUGCUUGUUGGGGUUGUAGGACACUCUAUACGGAGUUACAAAGGACGACAUUAGACGAAUCAUCUGGAAAGAUGAAUCAAAGAAGGUAAUAAUCCUGUAGUCGAAAAUGUUGUCUCUCUUGAGUGGAUCCUGAGUACGACGGAGCACGUGAAAUUCCGUCGGAAUCUGGGAGGACCAUCUCCUAAGGCUAAAUACUCUCUAGUGACCGAUAGUGAACCAGUACCGUGAGGGAAAGGUGAAAAGCACCCCGGAAGGGGAGUGAAAUAGAACCUGAAACCGUGUGCUUACAAGUAGUCAGAGCCCGUUAAUGGGUGAUGGCGUGCCUUUUGUAGAAUGAACCGGCGAGUUACGAUUUGAUGCAAGGUUAAGCAGUAAAUGUGGAGCCGUAGCGAAAGCGAGUCUGAAUAGGGCGUUUAGUAUUUGGUCGUAGACCCGAAACCAGGUGAUCUACCCUUGGUCAGGUUGAAGUUCAGGUAACACUGAAUGGAGGACCGAACCGACUUACGUUGAAAAGUGAGCGGAUGAACUGAGGGUAGCGGAGAAAUUCCAAUCGAACCUGGAGAUAGCUGGUUCUCUCCGAAAUAGCUUUAGGGCUAGCCUCAAGUGAUGAUUAUUGGAGGUAGAGCACUGUUUGGACGAGGGGCCCCUCUCGGGUUACCGAAUUCAGACAAACUCCGAAUGCCAAUUAAUUUAACUUGGGAGUCAGAACAUGGGUGAUAAGGUCCGUGUUCGAAAGGGAAACAGCCCAGACCACCAGCUAAGGUCCCAAAAUAUAUGUUAAGUGGAAAAGGAUGUGGCGUUGCCCAGACAACUAGGAUGUUGGCUUAGAAGCAGCCAUCAUUUAAAGAGUGCGUAAUAGCUCACUAGUCGAGUGACACUGCGCCGAAAAUGUACCGGGGCUAAACAUAUUACCGAAGCUGUGGAUUGUCCUUUGGACAAUGGUAGGAGAGCGUUCUAAGGGCGUUGAAGCAUGAUCGUAAGGACAUGUGGAGCGCUUAGAAGUGAGAAUGCCGGUGUGAGUAGCGAAAGACGGGUGAGAAUCCCGUCCACCGAUUGACUAAGGUUUCCAGAGGAAGGCUCGUCCGCUCUGGGUUAGUCGGGUCCUAAGCUGAGGCCGACAGGCGUAGGCGAUGGAUAACAGGUUGAUAUUCCUGUACCACCUAUAAUCGUUUUAAUCGAUGGGGGGACGCAGUAGGAUAGGCGAAGCGUGCGAUUGGAUUGCACGUCUAAGCAGUAAGGCUGAGUAUUAGGCAAAUCCGGUACUCGUUAAGGCUGAGCUGU